GGAGGAGUUCAGACUGGGACAUCUGUUAUCCCAUUGAUCAUCAGGAUUAAUUUGACUGCCAUGGUGGUCUACGGAGGUUUCCUCUUCCUGUAUCACUCCUCUAAUAGACAUCCUCCCUUGGCCAAAUAAAAUGACCUAUCCAAAAGUAGAGGAUCUUCUUUGGUGAAUAGCAUAAGAAUGGUGGACCUCCUUUGCUGGAAUCUCCAAGCUGCCUCCAAUAUGUACUGCAGUAUUAUGUUUCUUUUCAUUACACUAUUCCCUUUUGCAGACCAAAACCCAGAGAUAAUAGAGUGUGUAUUU
rnacentral:snRNA from 14 species